AGAAGAAGAAGCUAAUGGUGACCGCUGCUAAUAAUUCUGCAGUGAAAAGCACGGAGGAAAACUGCGGCUGAAUCAAGGAGAACUGCGGCUGAUCCGACAUGGCGACACUGAUUUCAGCGCGACGGAGGAGUAGUCCUGCAACUCGGGUGGCGGAGUUUUAAAGGAAGUUGGACUCGCGAAGCAUCCUUCACGGAGAGGACGUCGGCUGAGCGAGCAGGUCGGAGUUGGUUCAUUGUUUAAACGGAGAAGAGGAUCGUCGAAGCGACAUCGAUCUCUAGCUUCACCAGGCCUGCAACGGAACCUUAAACCGG